GUGAGGAAUUUUGCGCAAUGGCCUAACGGCUGACGCAGCAACGCCGCGUGACUGAUGAAGCUCUUCGGAGUGUAAAAGUCUGUUAGGAGGGAAGAAGAGUCCGGUGGCCAAUACCCGCCGGAUGUGACGGUACCUCCAGAGAAAGCACCGGCUAACUCCGUGCCAGCAGCCGCGGUAAUACGGGGGGUGCAAGCGUUGUCCGGAAUCACUGGGCGUAAAGAGUGUGUAGGUGGGAUGAUCAGUUGGAAGUGAAAUGUCUCGGCUCAACCGAGGACCUGCUUCCAAUACUGUCAUUCUUGAGUCACGUAGGGGAAGGCGGAAUUCCAGGAGUAGCGGUGAAAUGCGUAGAUAUCUGGAAGAACACCGGCGGCGAAGGCGGCCUUCUGGGCGUGUACUGACACUGAGACACGAAAGCGUGGGGAGCAAACAGG
rnacentral:rRNA from 1 species